rnacentral:rRNA from 1 species
ACGGAGGGGGUUAGCGUUGUUCGGAAUUACUGGGCGUAAAGCGUACGUAGGCGGAUUAGAAAGUAUAGGGUGAAAUCCCAGGGCUCAACCCUGGAACUGCCUUGUAAACUACUAUUCUAGAGUUCGAGAGAGGUGAGUGGAAUUCCAAGUGUAGAGGUGAAAUUCGUAGAUAUUUGGAGGAACACCAGUGGCGAAGGCGGCUCACUGGCUCGAUACUGACGCUGAGGUACGAAAGUGUGGGGAGCAAACAGG